UAACUACUCCCUCCGUCCGGAAAUACUUGUCAGAAAAAUGCAUAAAAAUGAACAUAUCUAGAACUAAAAUACGUCUAGAUACAUUUAUUUCUCCGACGAGUAUUUCCGGACGGAGGGAGUGCUUG
rfam:Triticum aestivum genome assembly, contig: Triticum_aestivum_CS42_TGACv1_scaffold_395648_5AS